GGGUCGGUAACUCAGUGGUAGAGUAAUGGAUUGCAGAUCCAUCUGUCAUGGGUUCGAUCCCCAUUCGGCCCU
rfam:Aspergillus terreus NIH2624 scaffold_2 genomic scaffold, whole genome shotgun sequence.